rnacentral:rRNA from 1 species
CCCCUAGACGUUCUGGGCUGCACGCGCGCUACAAUAAUACGCACAGCGAGUAUCACCGAGCUCGAAAGGGCAAGGUAAACAAUAGAAAAGGUACUGUAAUGGUUAUAGAUCCUUGUAAUUAUUGAUCUUCAACGAGGAAUUCCUAGUAAGUAUGUGUCAUCAUCACGCACUGAUUACGUCCCUGCCCUUUGUACACACCGCCCGUCGCACCUACCGAUUGGAUGGUCCGGUGAAGCCUCGGGAUUGUGGUUCUUGCCGCUUUAUUGUGGCGUGACCGCGAGAACUUGUCUAAACCUUAUCAUCUAGAGGAAGGUGAAGUCGUAACA